GUAGGUGGCAAGCGUUGCCCGGAAUUAUUGGGCGUAAAGCGCGCGCAGGCGGUUCUUUAAGUCUGAUGUGAAAGCCCACGGCUCAACCGUGGAGGGUCAUUGGAAACUGGAGAACUUGAGUACAGAAGAGGAAAGCGGAAUUCCACGUGUAGCGGUGAAAUGCGUAGAGAUGUGGAGGCACACCAGUGGCGAAGGCGGCUUUCUGGUCUGUAACUGACGCUGAGGCGCGAAAGCGUGGGGAGCAAACAGGAUUAGAUACCCUGGUAGUCCACGCCGUAAACGAUGAGUGCUAAGUGUUAGGGGGUUUCCGCCCCCCUUAGUGCUGCAGCUAACGCAUUAAGCACUCCGCCUGGGAGUACGGCCGCAAGGCUG
rnacentral:rRNA from 1 species